rfam:Ipomoea nil DNA, scaffold: scaffold1416, cultivar: Tokyo-kokei standard.
GCUCUUGUAGCUCAGUUGGUUAGAGCACUCGUUUAGUAAGCGGGAGGUCUUGAGUUCAACUCUCAACAAGAGCA